rnacentral:rRNA from 1 species
UACGGAGGAUCCAAGCGUUAUCCGGAUUUAUUGGGUUUAAAGGGUGCGUAGGCGGAACGAUAAGUCAGUGGUGAAAGCCUGCAGCUUAACUGCAGAACUGCCAUUGAUACUGUCGAUCUUGAGUACAUUUGAUGUGGGCGGAAUGUGUCAUGUAGCGGUGAAAUGCUUAGAUAUGACACAGAACACCGAUUGCGAAGGCAGCUCACAAAACUGUAAACUGACGCUGAGGCACGAAAGCGUGGGUAUCAAACAGG